AUGAAUUCUAACACCAUUAGCGCUCCAUCCUUAUCUGAAACUUUUUUUAAAAAAAUUAUCUUUUUUUUAAUAUUUCAAAGAGUUAAUGUCCGAAAAUGAACAUUAUCUAAAAAUUCAGAUCCUAAAAUAAUAAUUUAGCCUAUUUUUUAUCCAAAAUUCUCGAUGCAAAUAAAAAUAUGGUAUAGGAAAAAUAUGAAUGCAUGAGCACCAAAAAUUUGUAGCAGCUAACGAGAGGGAC
rnacentral:lncRNA from 1 species